rnacentral:rRNA from 1 species
UGGGGAAUAUUGGACAAUGGGGGCAACCCUGAUCCAGCAAUGCCGCGUGUGUGAAGAAGGCCUUCGGGUUGUAAAGCACUUUAGUUGGGGAGGAAGGUGAGUAGUUUAAGAGAUGAUUCAUUUGACUGUACCCAAAGAAUAAGCACCGGCUAACUCUGUGCCAGCAGCCGCGGUAAUACAGAGGGUGCGAGCGUUAAUCGGAAUUACUGGGCGUAAAGGGCGCGUAGGCGGUAGGAUAAGAUGUAUGUGAAAACCCUGGGCUUAACCUGGGACGUGCAUACAAGACUGUUUUACUAGAGUACAGUAGAGGGUAGUGGAAUUUCCGGUGUAGCGGUGAAAUGCGUAGAUAUCGGAAGGAACACCGGUGGCGAAGGCGGCUACCUGGGCUGAUACUGACGCUGAGGCGCGAGAGCGUGGGGAGCAAACAGGAUUAGAUACCCGCGUAGUCC